rnacentral:rRNA from 1 species
GACGAACGCUGGCGGCGUGCUUAACACAUGCAAGUCGAACGGAAAGGCCCUGCUUUUGUGGGGUGCUCGAGUGGCGAACGGGUGAGUAACACGUGAGUAACCUGCCCUUGACUUUGGGAUAACUUCAGGAAACUGGGGCUAAUACCGGAUAGGAGCUCCUGCUGCAUGGUGGGGGUUGGAAAGUUUCGGCGGUUGGGGAUGGACUCGCGGCUUAUCAGCUUGUUGGUGGGGUAGUGGCUUACCAAGGCUUUGACGGGUAGCCGGCCUGGGAGGGUGACCGGCCACAUUGGGACUGAGAUACGGCCCAGACUCCUACGGGGGGAAGCAGGGGGGAAUAUUGCACAAUGGGCGGAAGCCUGAUGCAGCAACGCCGGGUGCGGGAUGACGGCCUUCGGGUUGAAAACCGCUUUCGCCUGGGACGAAGCGUGGGUGACGGUAAUGGGUAAAAAAGCACCGGCUAACUACGU